AGCAGCCGCGGUAAUUCCAGCUCCAAUAGCGUAUAUUAAAGUUGUUGCAGUUAAAAAGCUCGUAGUUGAAUUUCGGGGUCAGUAGGUUGGUCGUGCCACCGGUACGUACUGGUCUCACUGAUUCCUCCUUCCUGAAGAACCGUAAUGCCAUUAAUUUGGUGUUGCGGGGAAACAGGACUGUUACUUUGAAAAAAUUAGAGUGUUUAAAGCAGGCUAACGCUUGAAUACAUUAGCAUGGAAUAAUGAAAUAGGACGAUCGAUCCUAUUUUGUUGGUUUCUAGGAUUGACGUAAUGAUUAAUAGGGAUAGUUGGGGGCAUUAGUAUUCAAUUGUCAGAGGUGAAAUUCUUGGAUUUAUUGAAGACUAACUACUGCGAAAGCAUUUGCCAAGGAUGUUUUCAUUAAUCAAGAACGAAAGUUAGGGGAUCGAAGACGAUCAGAUACCGUCGUAGUCUUAACCAUAAACUAUGCCGACUAGGGAUCGGAUGAUGUAAUUUAUAAUGACUCAUUCGGCGCCUUACG
rnacentral:rRNA from 1 species